rnacentral:ncRNA from 1 species
CUAUUAUCUUGGCAAACUGCUUGAAAGAGUAGGACGCAAAGUUUGAAGUCUAAGGCACUAGCUAUGACCGUUCAACUGCAGUA